GACGAACGCUGGCGGCGUGCCUAAUACAUGCAAGUAGAACGCUGAAGAGAGGAGCUUGCUCUUCUUGGAUGAGUUGCGAACGGGUGAGUAACGCGUAGGUAACCUGCCUGGUAGCGGGGGAUAACUAUUGGAAACGAUAGCUAAUACCGCAUAAAAUUGAUUAUUGCAUGAUAAUUAAUUGAAAGAUGCAACUGCAUCACUACCAGAUGGACCUGCGUUGUAUUAGCUAGUUGGUGAGGUAACGGCUCACCAAGGCGACGAUACAUAGCCGACCUGGGAGGGUGAUCGGCCACACUGGGAAUGAGACACGGCCCAGACUCCCACGGGAGGGAGCAGGAGGGAAUCUUCGGGAAUGGGGGGAACCCUGACCGAGCAACGCCGCGUGAGUGAAGAAGGUUUUCGGAUCGGAAAGCUCUGUUGUAAGAGAAGAACGGGUGUGAGAGUGGAAAGUUCACACUGUGACGGUAUCUUACCAGAAAGGGACGGCUAACUACGUG
rnacentral:rRNA from 1 species